CCUACGGGGGGCAGCAGUGGGGAAUAUUGGACAAUGGGGGGAACCCUGAUCCAGCCAUGCCGCGUGUGUGAAGAAGGCCCUCGGGUUGUAAAGCACUUUCAGUGAGGAAGAACGCCUGGUGGUUAAUACCCAUCAGGAAAGACAUCACUCACAGAAGAAGCACCGGCUAACUCCGUGCCAGCAGCCGCGGUAAUACGGAGGGUGCGAGCGUUAAUCGGAAUUACUGGGCGUAAAGCGCGCGUAGGUGGCUUGAUAAGCCGGUUGUGAAAGCCCCGGGCUCAACCUGGGAACGGCAUCCGGAACUGUCAAGCUAGAGUGAAGGAGAGGAAGGUAGACUUCCCGGUGUAGCGGUGAAAUGCGUAGAGAGCGGGAGGAAUACCAGUGGCGAAGGCGGCCUUCUGGACUGACACUGACACUGAGGUGAGAAAGCGUGGGUAGCAAACAGGAUCAGAUACCCCUGUAGUC
rnacentral:rRNA from 1 species